CAGACUUUAUGCUUCUCUGUAGCAGGUGAAUGUCACCAUGGGAGCUUGCUAUGGAAUUAUUACUACAGGUGCAGCAGAGCAGGAGUGAUGUGAAGCAAACCAUGUAAAAUAUGAAUGGCUUCUGACUCACUGGAUGAAGUUAUGGGUCUGCAACUGAAGUUCCUAAACAUAAAGGACGCCUUUGGAGUCAGUGUGUUCACAUCACAAGGUCUUUUAUACUGAAACUCACCACCUACAACAAGCUGGCCAAUGGUCCUGUUAGCAGAAAUUGCCAAGAACUUCACUGCCGCUGGGGUGAAAAUAACCCAGGGAACUUUGUGAAAGGACCAUCCCUGUGCAUUGAUGGCAAAUAUUAAACUGUUGUUUAGGAUAUUGAAACAUUACCUGAAACAGCUAAAGCUGCCCUUUCUUGUCAAAAUGAGGAAAAUGAAAGCUCAAAUACUGGAAUGUCCAAUUCAAAACUGGCCACCCGGACACCGUAAGCAUGAGGUUGCUAAUAGCUUCAGGGGUGGAACAAGACUGUCAGUGAUGGACAGAAACUGAAUAUCCAGCCAGACCACAUUAAUGACGUACUCAAGGGGACUGGUCUAGGUGGCACUGGCUCUACAAGGAGUCCUUAUCUCUCUGGAAUUCAGUGAUAAAAAUAAAGGAAGAAAAAAUUCAGUGCCUGCACAUGUGCAGGGUGCAAACUCAGAAAGGUUUUGGUUUAAUGACAGUAUGAUGAAACAGUCUCAAUGCA